UCCGGAAUUCCGGGCGGGAAGGUCUCUGCCCUCCGGGACUUUCCCGUUUUCCGGGGCUCCGUGCAGAAUUCCCGUUGUUCUCCCGUUUUUCCAGCCGGGCGUGCGGCUGCACUUUGUGGAGCUGGGCCGGGGCCCGGCGCUCUGCCUGUGCCACGGAUUCCCGGAGUCCUGGCUCGCCUGGCGCUUCCAGAUCCCGGCGCUGGCCCAGGCCGGAUUCCGGGUGAUCGCCCUGGAGAUGAAGGGAUACGGGGAAUCCACCGCGCCCCAGGGUGAGAGAGAGCGGGAGCGGCGGGAAGGGACAGCGGGAAUAGCGGGAAUAACUAACGGGA